rnacentral:rRNA from 1 species
ACUCCUACGGGAGGCAGCAGUGGGGAAUCUUGCGCAAUGGGCGAAAGCCUGACGCAGCAACGCCGCGUGCGGGAAGAAGGCCUUUGGGUUGUAAACCGCUUUCAGCAGGGACGAAACUGACGGUACCUGCAGAAGAAGGUCCGGCUAACUACGUGCCAGCAGCCGCGGUAAUACGUAGGGGCCAAGCGUUGUCCGGAUUUAUUGGGCGUAAAGAGCUCGUAGGCGGUUCUGUAAGUCGAGUGUGAAAAAUCUGGGCUCAACCCAGUGGAGCACUCGAUACUGCAGUGACUGGAGUCCGGUAGGGGAGUGUGGAAUUCCUGGUGUAGCGGUGAAAUGCGCAGAUAUCAGGAGGAACACCAACAGCGAAGGCAGCACUCUGGGCCGGUACUGACGCUGAGGAGCGAAAGCGUGGGGAGCGAACAGGAUUAGAUACCCUGGUAGUC